GCUACGUGGGAAGAUGAAAGACAACGAAGACGAGAUAUUGGACUAUCUUCACAAGUUGCUCUUCCUGUUUCACAAGGUAGUGAUGAUGAACAUGAUGAAGAUAUUGAUGAAGAUAAAGAAUCAAUAUUAAUGUCACAGCCAUUUUGGAAAGAUGAUGAAGAGGAACAUGAUUCCCAAAGUUCGGAGGAUGAAGCGGAAAAUACUUUUCAGGAACAGAAAUACUUUUAAGAAGCUGUCACCUAUUAAUAAAUACUUUAGUAUAAAUAUGAUUGUCUUAAUUAAACCAUCUUCUUGUUUUAA